UCCCCCACUGCUGCCUCUGCCUCCCCUCACGCUGUCCCCGUCACCAGCGCCGCCGCCUCCACCUCCCCCUCGCGCCGCCGUCGCGUCACCGCCGAGUGCCCCCUCUGCCUCCCAAUCAUGCUACCACCUCCGCCUCCCGCCAUCCCCAUCGCCGAACGCCUCUGCCUCGCUCCGCCGCUUCCGCCGUCGCCGAGCACUGCCGCAGCACCGUCCUCCACUGCCGCUGCCAUCGCCGAGCGCUGCCACUGCGUCCUUCGGCGCCAUCGCUGACGGCUGCUGCUCCGCCCUCCGUUGCCGCUGCCAUCGAAGAAACGGCAGUGGUGACAGAACCGACAUCAAGGAAGGCGGUGGCUGCAGCGAGAAGAGGAGAGCCGCUCCAAACCUAGAUGGCGGUACAAAUCCAGUGGAGCUUUUGGCCGCUUGCUGCGCGUCACCUCUUAGGUCGGUCCCUCUUUCCCUCAGGUUGUUGUCUUCGUUUAUACCCAUCUAUUUUUUGCUGUCCAUCGCCUCUGCAGGGAAGAAGAACAUGAGGUGAGAGUGAGGGCGUUCCAAAUGGAGGAGUGCGGUGUCCCCUAGUGAUAGCCUGUACCCACGGAUCCGCCAUCCCCACACGUCGACUCAUCCACGUGAUUGCUGUGUUGUGGCUCUAUUGGCAAUGGUUAGAAGACAGUGCUGGCUGUGACAACAAAAGGUGAAACUAAAGAGAUUGAAAAGAUAAAACGGUGUUUUUUUUCGAAGGAGACCAUCAUGGAGGAAAGAAGAGAGGGUGGAGUUGCAAACAUGAACCAUAUAUAUACCUUUUGUCAUGCUUGAUUAAUUUGCUCCCAGAUGAAAGUAACUCAUUGCUGCACAACUCCUUGAAUUGAGGGUUCCGAUUCUAGAACACAACAUCCUCUGCAGAUUUUUUACUGGAAGGUGUUCCUUUUGUGCUUCUUAAACUGAAGGAGCUAUCCAAGGAAAAAGAAUAAAUAAGAUCCUAUCGUCUUCAACGUGAUGCUAUCAUCCUUGGUCAUCAGGAAAAACUCAGAAGACCAUGGACCGCUCCUGCCACUCAUAGCAAUCUUGAUCAAUUAAUUGCUUCAGUUUAGAGAGUUUUUUUCCUACAGGCAGGUGAGAUGACCACCAGGCACCAGCACAAUAGCUCAUUACAAGAGCACAAACCAGACUGAAGAUUGUUUGGCAGCUGAAACUGCACUGUGUAGGCAGUAGCCCUUCUUGAGAAGUGAUGGCCAUGACUUUUGAGCCUUUGAUCAUCUGGAACAGCAACACUUGGGACCUGUACAAAUUUGCUGAUGGUUCCUUCUACAAAAAUUGAAUGUGCAAUAUCUGAAUGUUGCCUACUUCUGAAUUGUCGAAACAAGAAUUUGGCAAUAAUAACAAGAAUUCGGCAAUAAUAAAAGGGGAUAGCGCACGAG